ensembl:lncRNA
UUUUUUUUUUAGCAUUGGAAUCUAUAGAAGAAUUAACUUUGGAAACAUCCCUAAUAUAAACAUAUGAACAGUAAAAAUUUUUGGAAAAUAUUUCAGACAUUCAGGAGUUAUAAAUAUCCUCUAGAGGUUUAUUUUUCCAUUUCACACCUACUAUGAUAUCUCAUUAUAUUUAGGGUUAUUUUAAUUAGCGAUGAUGUGUUUGGAUUAGGCUCUUACCUAACACUUAUAAUGAAAUAACUGCAGAGAACCCUUCCUACCAAAAUGACUAUAAAAAUGGGUCCCAGAAACAUACCUUGAAUCCAGUAUGCUGUUUCUUGGUUUGACUAACUGUGUGAUAAAAUGAAAACCAUGUCAGUCUUAAAUCCUAGUUUACAUCUCAGCAGAAGGAUUGCAGUUGACAGUCUCUGCCCACCCGUGGGCAGCAGCACUGCAGAGGUACUGAACAUGCACGCAGAUUCACUGGCACACAACUCCACACACAUAUGGUAGUACACAGGAAUUUUUUCUUGUAAUAAGGGAAUUCUGCAUGAUAAAUCCAUUAAAUUCCAGAUGGCCACUUGGGAAAAACACAAUUCUGCUUCUAAACAGUUUGAGAAUUGUAAAGGUAAGUGAAACUUGCUGCUUACACCAUAAGACUGAUGUCUGUGAAAGUGAAGUAUUUCUCAGCAUGCGCAAAUGCAGCUACAUCUAUGAUAUUACUUCAAUGAAAUGAUAAAUUUCAGACCACCCUAGGGAGUGGAGAAAUGGAUUCCAUUCAAUUUCAUCUUUUUAAUAACAGAUUGGACAUAAUACAACAGCGAGAUGAUUUUGUUAUCCGGUACUUGUAGGAGGAGGUAAAAUUUUCAGUUCAACAACUCUGUUAGUUACUACCAAAGUGUUGAAAUAAAAUUAUAUUGUCAUACUGAAUUGCUUUUGUGUGUUGUUGCUUUCUGUCCCCUUACUUGGUUCUCUUCUUAGGGGGCAGAAGAAAGGAUAGAAGAGUAAUCUGAGUUAAGAUAAUGACUUUACUAAAUAUCAUACUCCAGCACUCCAUGUCUCAGGACUUUCAGGGAGCAGAAGUGAAUAGAAAGACUCUGAGGUUUAUUGCUCUGAGGUUUAUUGCUCUGUCCUUUGCCUUCUAGCAUCAUAGCUGAAGACAAGGAAAUAUUGUACUCUAAGAACAUAAUGGCAAAUCUCUUUCCUAGAUUGUAAAUUUAUGCAAAACUGACACAUUUGUCCAUUAGAUAAACAUUUUCCACAUUUUGGAAAGCAUAUUGGUGGAUUUAAUUUUCAUCUGCUGUGUGGGAAGUGGGUUCACAGGAUGCAUUUGUAGAAGAACUAGCAAUGAAGAAGGGUUUUUGGCUUGCUGACUACAGUUUUCUGCCUCUAUUAGCAAUCAUGUCAUAUAAUCUUCCUUAGUUAUUUGUGAAGCUUCAACUUGCAGGUUGAAACUCGAUGAGUUUAUACCUCCAUUUCAAUUCCCUGUGAGGAAAGAAAUCUUAGAUACUGACAGUACCUUGUUUUGUUCUCUUCUGGGAUGGUUACUUCCAGUUUAGUUUCCUGAUAAAAGCUUGAGUUAGGGUCUUUCAGCUUUCCAAAUUACUAGUGUCAUGUAGGCCAACACAGAAUAUCAAGGAAUCUACUAGAUAGAAAACAGUGAGACAGGAAAUCCCUGACUUUCUGUUAGCCUCAAAUAGCUCAUCUUUACCCCCUCUGUCUUUCACCUCCUUGUGUCCCUGAGGAUGACACCCAUUACUGAAGUGUGCAGAUGGACUCCCACAAGCCCUAUAGUGCCAACUCUCAGCACCAUACUCCCUGGAUAUCACUUGCCUGUGGGAAUUCACUACCAAGAUGCUAAAACUGUCUUUUGCCCACAUGACUUACCACUAUUGCUUCCAGCAGGACCCAUUGCCCUGGGGUGAUUUUGAGAUACAUUUUACUUUAAAUAUUUAAACCUGAAUCAAAACUACUUUUUUUUUUCUUUCUCUCUUACCUUAAGUUUAACCA